GAUCCUGGCUCAGGAUGAACGCUGGCGGCGUGCUUAACACAUGCAAGUCGAACGAAGCACUUAAGAUUGAUUCUUCGGAUGACGUCUUUUGUGACUUAGUGGCGGACGGGUGAGUAACGCGUGGGUAACCUGCCUCACACAGGGGGAUAACAGUUAGAAAUGACUGCUAAUACCGCAUAACCCGAUAGGAUCGCAUGAUCCAGACGGAAAAGAUUUAUCGGUGUGAGAUGGACCCGCGU
rnacentral:rRNA from 1 species